CACCAUACCUGGCAGGAGAGAGACCAUGAUCAUGAAGGUGUCUCUCCCAGGGCAAAGUUAGCCCAUUGCUCUUUGGGUGUGCUGAUGCCUGCGAUGUCCCAUAAUGCAGCAUACUCGACUGCAAAAUUUCUGGCAGUGGGAGAUUGCGUUUGCGUUCUUCCCUA